rnacentral:rRNA from 1 species
CCCUUAGAUGUUCUGGGCCGCACGCGCGCUACACUGACGAUGGCAACGAGUUUUUCAUUCGCCGAAAGGUGUGGGUAAUCUUUUGAAACAUCGUCGUGCUGGGGAUAGAUCAUUGCAAUUUUUGAUCUUGAACGAGGAAUUCCUAGUAAGCGCGAGUCAUCAGCUCGCGUUGAUUACGUCCCUGCCCUUUGUACACACCGCCCGUCGCUACUACCGAUUGAAUGGUUUAGUGAGGACUCCUGAUUGGCGCCGCCGCCCCGGCAACGGAGCAGCGGACUGCCGAAAAGUUGUUCAAACUUGAUCAUUUAGAGGAAGUAAAAGUCGUAACA